AACGAACGCUGGCGGCAUGCCUAACACAUGCAAGUCGAACGAGACCUUCGGGUCUAGUGGCGCACGGGUGCGUAACGCGUGGGAACCUGCCCUUAGGUUCGGAAUAACUCCCCGAAAGGGGUGCUAAUACCGGAUAAUGUCUUCGGACCAAAGAUUUAUCGCCUUUGGAUGGGCCCGCGUUGGAUUAGCUAGUUGGUAGGGUAAAAGCCUACCAAGGCGACGAUCCGUAGCUGGUCUGAGAGGAUGAUCAGCCACACUGGGACUGAGACACGGCACAAACUGAGACGGGAGGAAGCAGUGGGGAAUAUUCCGAAAUGGGCGAAAGCGUGACGGAGCAAUGCCGAGUGAGUGAAGAAGGCCUUAGGGUUGUAAAACUAUGUAAUUAUCGAAGAGAGAGUGUUGUAGUAACUGACAAUACUAGGACGGUAGAUGAGGAGGAAGCCCCGGCUAACUAUGUG
rnacentral:rRNA from 1 species